rnacentral:rRNA from 1 species
GACGAACGCUGGCGGCGUGCUUAACACAUGCAAGUCGAACGGGGUAACUCCUUCGGGGGUUACUUAGUGGCAACGGGUGAGUAACGCGUGAGCAACCUGCCUUUCAGAGGGGGACAACAGUUGGAAACGACUGCUAAUACCGCAUAACACAUCGAGGGGGCAUCCCCAUGAUGUCAAAGAUUUAUCGCUGAAAGAUGGGCUCGCGUCUGAUUAGAUAGUUGGUGAGGUAACGGCCCACCAAGUCGACGAUCGGUAGCCGGACUGAGAGGUUGAACGGCCACAUUGGAACUGAGAUACGGUCCAGACUCCUACGGGAGGCAGCAGUGGGGAAUAUUGGGCAAUGGACGAAAGUCUGACCCAGCGACGCCGCGUGAGGGAAGAAGGUCUUCGGAUUGUAAACCUUAGUCAACAGGGAAGAAGCAAGUGACGGUACCUGUGGAGGAAGCCACGGCUAACUACGUG